UACGUAGGGACCGAGCGUUGUCCGGAAUCAUUGGGCGUAAAGAGCGUGUAGGCGGCCACUUAAGUCCUGCGUGAAAUCUUGCGGCUCAACCGCAAGCGGUCGUGGGAAACUGGGUGGCUAGAGUGCGGGAGAGGAGAGUGGAAUUCCUGGUGUAGCGGUGGAAUGCGCGGAUAUCAGGAAGAACACCCGUGGCGAAGGCGGCUCUCUGGAACGCAACUGACGCUGAGACGCGAAAGCGUGGGGAGCAAACAGG
rnacentral:rRNA from 1 species